CGCCGGUAAUACGUAGGGGCAAGCGUAUCCGGAAUUAUUGGGCGUAAGAGUGCGUAGGUGUUUGUAAGCUUGAGGUGAAGCAAUAGCUCCAACUAUGUAAGCCUUGUGAACUGCAAGACUGAGUGCAGGAGAGGAAAGUGGAAUUCCUAGUGUAGCGGUGAAAUGCGUAGAUAUUAGGAGGAACACCAGUGGCGAAGGCGACUUUCUGGACUGUAACUGACACUGAGGCACGAAAGCGUGGGAGCAAACAGGAUUAGAUACCCUGGUAGUCCACGCGUAAACGAUGAGCACUAGGUGUCGGGGCCGCAAGGUUUCGGUGCCGCAGUUAACGCAUUAAGUGCUCCGCCUGGGGAGUACGCACGCAAGUGUGAAACUCAAAGGAAUUGACGGGGACCCGCACAAGCAGCGGAGCAUGUGGUUUAAUUCGAAGCAACGCGAAGAACCUUACCAGGACUUGACAUCCCUCUGACCGCUCUCUAACAGGAGCUUCUCUUCGGAGCAGAGGUGACAGGUGGUGCAUGGUUGUCGUCAGCUCGUGUCGUGAGAUGUUGGGUUAAGUCCCGCAACGAGCGCAACCCUUGUCAUUAGUUGCCAGCAGUUCGGCUGGGCACUCUAGUGAGACUGCCGGGGAUAACUCGGAGGAAGGUGGGGAUGACGUCAAAUCAUCAUGCCCCUUAUGUUCUGGGCUACACACGUGCUGCAAUGGCUGGUACAAAGAGACGCAAGACCGCGAGGUGGAGCAAAUCUCAAAAACCAGUCCCAGUUCGGAUUGUAGGCUGCAGCUCGCCUACAUGAAGUUGGAGUUGCUAGUAAUCGCGAAUCAGAAUGUCGCGGUGAAUGCGUUCCCGGGUCUUGUACACACCGCCCGUCACACCAUGGAAGUUGGGGGCGCCCGAAGU
rnacentral:rRNA from 1 species